rnacentral:lncRNA from 1 species
AAAAUCGCGUCGCCUUUAUUUUUUAAUGUAAAAUAUGGAGUCAUUCCCGCGCUUUGCAUAAUUUAAAACAAUUGCAAAGAAGAAACCUAGUUACCAUGUUUUUAAUCUAUGUAGGAUAGUUUUAUUUUUGAAACAUUUUUAGAGGAAAAUAAGCACUAAGUUUAGAUCCGUAUAUGAAUGAGAAUGAAAAAAAUAGCUAUAAAGGCGACGUUAGUGUAUAUUUGCGUGUAUAUUGCAAGUUAAAGGCGACAAUUUUUCUAAGUUUAGGAUUUUAGAGUUUGUGCAUCGACUUCUCACGAAUCAUGCACAGAUUUGAUUGUCGAUGCAAUAGUUACUGAUUCGUUAAAGCAGGCAGCUUUUACUCGUGUUAAAGUGCCUUAAAUCCAAUAGAUAUCAUCGUUACGAUAUUACUUUGUUUGUAAAUUGUUUUAAAAAAUUUUAUGACAAAUUCAUUCAUGAUCAAAUUUAAUAUGGAGGCUGGAAAAAACAAAUGAUCGUUUAGUCUGACCAAGCUAUGCAAUAUAAUAAAAGUUUGUCCAUCAACUGCUCACGAAUCAUACAGAGAGUCGAUCGUCGAUGCAAUAAUUAAUAAUUUGUUAAAGCGGGCAACUUUUAGACGUUAAAGUGCCUUAAAUUUAACAGAUAUCACCGUUACGGUUUUACUUUAUUUUUAAAUUGUUUCAGAAAUUUAAUUUUAAAAGAACUUUUUAUAUUAAUUUUGUAUCUUUCUUGUUUUUCCAACCAACAGGUUCUAUCAAACUAUUUUAUAAUAGUACCAAUGGAUCUAUGAAUAUUUUAUGAAAAAGAACGUCUUUUAAACGUUUAA